GCAAACUUGGUCAUUUAGAGGAAGUAAAAGUCGUAACAAGGUCUCCGUUGGUGAACCAGCGGAGGGAUCAUUACCGAGUUUACAACUCCCAAACCCACUGAGAACCUUACCUUUGUUGCUUCGGCGGGACCGCCCCGGCGCCUGUGCUGCCCGGACCCAGGCGCCCGCCGGAGGCCCCAAGCUCUUGUCUUUGGAAAUCGUAUCUUCUGAGUGGCACAAGCAAAAUGAAUCAAAACUUUCAACAACGGAUCUCUUGGUUCUGGCAUCGAUGAAGAACGCAGC
rnacentral:misc_RNA from 1 species